rnacentral:rRNA from 1 species
CCUACGGGAGGCAGCAGUGGGGAAUAUUGGGCAAUGGGCGCAAGCCUGACCCAGCAACGCCGCGUGAAGGAAGAAGGCUUUCGGGUUGUAAACUUCUUUUCGCAGGGACGAAGAAAGUGACGGUACCUGAGGAAUAAGCCACGGCUAACUACGUGCCAGCAGCCGCGGUAAUACGUAGGUGGCAAGCGUUAUCCGGAUUUAUUGGGUGUAAAGGGCGUGUAGGCGGGAGUGCAAGUCAGAUGUGAAAACUCAGGGCUCAACCCUGAGCCUGCAUUUGAAACUGUGUUUCUUGAGUGCUGGAGAGGCAAUCGGAAUUCCGUGUGUAGCGGUGAAAUGCGUAGAGAUACGGAGGAAGACCAGUGGCGAAGGCGGAUUGCUGGACAGUAACUGACGCUGAGGCGCGAAAGCGUGGGGAGCAAACAGGAGUAGAUACCCCUGUAGUC